UUUUUUCCCUAUAUUUACUUAUUUUACUUUUCAUAAAAUCACAAAAUUAUAAAAAAAAAAUGUUAGCUUCUUAUUUAAUAAUAUUAUUAAUAGCAACAUUAUCUUAUCUUACUAGCGGAGAAGCCGAUCCAGGGCUUUUAGACGAGCGAAUUGAAAGUAAUGCCUACAUUAGAUAUCAUGGAAUUGAAAAUUUUUGUGCCAAUAGAUGUCAAAAUUCUAACAAUGAA